rnacentral:snRNA from 1 species
GUGUUCACUUUAGCAGUACAUACACUAAAAAAUUGGAACAGUGAAAGAAGAUUGUCAUGGCCUGUGUGCAAGGAUGACAUGUAUAUUUGAGAAAAUAAUUAGAAAAGU